GACGAACGCUGGCGGCGUGCCUAAUACAUGCAAGUCGAGCGAAGCGGCGGAUGGGUGAGUAACGCGUGGGUAACCUGCCCUUAAGUCUGGGAUACCAUUUGGAAACAGAUGCUAAUACCGGAUACUAAAGGAUGGACCUGCGAUGCAUUAGCUAGUUGGUAAGGUAACGGUUUACCAAGGCGAUGAUGCAUAGCCGAGUUGAGAGGCUGAUCGGCCACAUGGGGACUGAGACACUGCCUAAACUCCGACGGGAGGCAGCAGGAGGGAAUCUUCCACAAUGGACGCAAGUCUGAUGGAGCAACGACGCGGAAGUGAAGAAGGUUUUCGGACCGUAAAGCUCUGUUGUUGGUGAAGCGGUAAUCAACCAGAAAGUCACGGCUAACUACGUGCCAGUCGCCGCGGUAAUAC
rnacentral:rRNA from 1 species